AACGAACGCUGGCGGCAUGCCUAACACAUGCAAGUCGAACGAGAUCUUCGGGUCUAGUGGCGCACGGGUGCGUAACGCGUGGGAAUCUGCCCUUUGGUUCGGAAUAACAGUUGGAAACGACUGCUAAUACCGGAUGAUGACGAAAGUCCAAAGAUUUAUCGCCAGAGGAUGAGCCCGCGUAGGAUUAGCUAGUUGGUGUGGUAAAGGCGCACCAAGGCGACGAUCCUUAGCUGGUCUGAGAGGAUGAUCAGCCACACUGGGACUGAGACACGGCCCAGACUCCUACGGGAGGCAGCAGUGGGGAAUAUUGGACGAUGGGCGAAAGCCUGAUCCAGCAAUGCCGCGUGAGUGACGAAGGCCUUAGGGUUGUAAGGCUCUUUUACCCGGGAUGAUAAUGACAGUACCGGGAGAAUAAGCUCCGGCUAACUCCGUGCCAGCAGCCGCCGUAA
rnacentral:rRNA from 1 species